rfam:Trichobilharzia regenti genome assembly, scaffold: TRE_scaffold0006133
AUUCAGAUGACGAGUCCCAAAGAGGACGAAAUGCGCAUCCUGCAU